AAAAAAAAAAAAAUCCCAGCCAAGAAAUGUAGCACUAGAAUUAUCAGUUGAACUUUAAUAUUUAUUAAAAGCUCACAGAGCUGAUGAAAUCCACCGGCAUUAAGAAUACUGCUUUCUGAUCACUUAAGAUGGUGAGAGCCACCUUGGGCAGAAAGUGAAGAAAUUCUUUGACUUUGGUGACUUAUUGAUCUGUGUCUGUGCCUGAAGCAUUUUAUGCUUCUCUUUUUUUCUCCCCAACUUGAACUGUGGACCUUUUAGAUACUUCCUAAACCUGUGUGAGUCAUUUUUUAAGAUUAAGAACUUGAUACAUAUUAGUAUAUCCCCUAUUACCUCCUUAGAAACCCUGGACCCAGAUUCCAGUCAUAUUUCUUAUUUGUAUGGGAUGGUUCUAAUUUAAAUUAAAGGUGUCAAUAGUUCUUUUUUUUUUUUUUGCAGUGGUAGGAAUUGUACCCUGCUUCAUUAAUUAGUAAGAAGGACAUAUACAGAUUAUCACUAAAAGCCACUUAUAUCUUCCAAUAAGGCCUCAUGUGAUAUCAGUUGUGGAAACAAAGGUUUUGGGGUUUUUAUGGAAAGAAUAUAGGGUAAACAUUAUGUAAUUCAGAUAUAUUCAGAUACCAGUUCAUACUUAGUGAGUGUGUGUGCGAGUGUUUAGUGUGUGUGUGUAUAAGUAAAGAGAACUUGUAAUAUUGCUACGAAGUGUCAGUCUUAUAAUUUUCCUUUAUAUAGCACAAGAUGGUAUCUGACAAUGGGCUAAAUGCAAUUUAAAAGUGGAAUUAUCAGUUACUGUAUAACAGUCUCUACCCUAGUUCCUGUGAAUUUUGGAAGAUGCUAAAAUUUUAGUUGUAAAAGAAACCAACAGGAUUUUCUUUUUUUUUUUUUGCAAAAAAACAAAAACACUUAAAAUUUACUGUUAUUCUGUUACUAGAAAAUUAUAUUUUAAUACUUUAAGAUAUUUACAGUAUGCUAAGAAAUUUGAACACUGCUGUAACAACUGGACCUUUUUGCCUUUUGAAUGAAUUUCUCAAAUAGAACUGCAAAUUUUAGCACUUUCUGUGCUGUCACCUCCCCAUGCUCUGUAAUGAACUCCUGUAUAUUAGAGACCUUUGUGGAAGCACUGACAAAUUUAGGCAAAUUCAAUGUCAUUAAGGCAGUGAGCAAGAAAAAUAAACCCCAUCACACAGUGUCUUUGAAAAAAAUAGCUAUGGGUACUGUGUUACUUUGAGUGCCUUUUUUACUUUUGGGAGAAGCAAGAUUACCUUACAUUGAACUUAAUGUUUAAGCAGAAAGUAGAGUAUGGAAGUUUUAUCAAAUACCUGAUUAUGGUUCACUAUUUUAUUUAUUCCCAUAGCUAGGCAUGGUCCCAUGGGGUAUUUUAUCAUAUAAUAUACUGAUAGAAGAAGGUAGGAUCCUAAUACAUUGUGUUUAUAAUUAGUUAACAUUUUUAGGCACCCUACCAAGUAGAGAGAGACUAGUUCUUUCUCUCUGAUAACUAACAUUUUGGGGUUAGAGGCAUCACAUUUAGAGCAUGAUACAUGCCCAAAGACAGUCUGAAACCUAUACAAAGGGAAACUGGCACCCGCCUCAAAAUAAAGAUCAGAUGGCUGUCCUAAAUUAAUCCUCUGCCUUACUUUAAGGAUCUUCGUUCCUUCCCAGAUUCAGCAUGAUACAGGAUAGUUUGGGAACCAGGGGGAGAUUAGGCCUUUCUUUUUCAGAUAUCAGAAAAAAAGAAGUAAACACUGAGUUAAAAUUUUAAAUAUUCAUUUUAUAUAUUUGUGUCUGAGGAAGAGGGAUAGGAAUUUCAUAUUUCACAACAGCAAAUAAUUGCUUGUUUUAAUUUCAUGAAAAAUAUAGUUAAGAUUCCAAAGUGCUUUACAGAGAUUUCUUAAACAAUGUGUUCCUAAAGGGCAGUGAUAUGCUGUGUUUAUACUGAAGACAGAAAACCAAUGUAUCCAUUGUGGCUCUGGUGUAGGAGGGGAAACCUCAGGCUCCCAAUUUUGACUUCUCUGCUCUUACCAGGCCAUGAUAACACUGUAAAACCAAACUCUUUGCUAAAAAUAAAUAAAUAAAUAAGGCAGUAGCUUAGUCUGUUGGUCAAACAUUGUGCUUCCAAGAAUAUUAGCUAUAUAUAGUAUGUGCUUUCUGGACAAUAAUAUGAUCCACAAAACUAACCCUGACAUUUCUUUUAUUGGUCUGUUGUUAUUCCUCAGGGUGUAAAAGAUUUAGUCAAUGUAGAACAAAAAUUUAUAUUUAGUGGCAAAAAAAGAAAAAGCAAAAAUAGGUUAAAUAUAUUACUAGCUCUUAACAUUUUAAUAUAUAUAGUAUUUUUUAUAAACCACUACCAGCAUAGUAGCUAGUAUAUCCUCUAUGACUGCCUCAUUGUUCACCUUGCUGCUCUCGCCCCUAUGGCUCCUUUGGGAACAUUAUCUUAUAUAUGUCUUCCAUGGGAAUGAUUUCUGUAUUUUAUUUCCAUGUUGGGAGGUAGGCAAUAUCAUAUUUGUUUAUUUGGCAUCCUUCUCAAUUUUUAGAAAUCCUAUUGAGGAAAAGGAUUACUGUGAUGUGCAAGUCUUGUACAUGUUGAACACAUUGUAUAAAUGCCUUCCAUGUUAUAAGGUCAAGUCAGAAUAGAUAAAAGCUAGAAAGGAAAAACUAGCUCCGUCUCGUCAUGGUCUAUAUUCUUAUGGUAGUUUUAAGUGAAAUGCACCCAUUUUGCGUAAAGUACAUAAUCAGAUUCAAAUUCACAAGGUAAAGAUACACAAUUUUACAACAUUGCAAGUGAAAUUUAGAUACUUUUAAGGUAUUUAAAUAAGUGUGUAUACACACACCUAUAUAUAUAUAACAGAUUUGGAGCUUGAAUUUAUAGGAUGGUUUUUACAAAGAAUUUUAUCCAAAAGAUUUUUAUUUUAUAUUUGUUUAGUGUUCAUAAGUCAGUUUUCUUUAUUAGAUCAUCCCCCUCCAGCAAAGUUGGAAAUAUAACACAAGUACCAAUUUGUCCUAAUUAACUAGAUAAUUGUAUAAAUUGCUUAUAUUCUUUAGUGGUUUAUAAAUCAUAUCAUUCUAGUUUUUCUCCCAUACCUUCAGGAAAUCAACCUUUAUUUUAUAUCUGGCAAUCACUUUCUUUAAAGUACUAUGCAGUAUACCUUAGAUUGUUUAUGUUUAUAAAGAUAGAGAUAAUACAUUUGACUAUUUUUAUGUCGUAAGGGUUUAUAAUUUCACAUGUCCAAAUGUUGACUCAAACACUAUUCUAUCAAAAAUGUGCAUAUAUUGUCUUUCUUCAUCAAAGUCAUACAUUUGGAGCAGAUAUUUUGCAAUCAUAGUAGGUACUCAGUAAAUACCUAAUUGAUUAUUGAUCUAAUGUCUAACAGUGAGCUUUCAGCAGUUUUGGAGACAAUUGUCAUCUUGUCACUGAGAAGUAUAUUGUAGAGUAAUAUAUUGUACAACUGAAAAAUUAUUUCACUUGACCUGAAUUAUUAGGGUUUUAGGCCAGAGUUAGUAACAUAAUUAAAGCACUCUUUAUAUAUGAUUUGAAAAUAUAUAUAAAAAAUUUAAGCGUAGAAUCUUCCUGUGUAAGGCACAUUAAUAAAUGUGAUGAAAUGAAUGUCUUAAAAAACAGGCAGCUGAACUCUAGGAAAAACUGCUGUAGUCUUCUGCAGUUUCUGUAUUGGUAUUCCCUGUACCAUCUAGUUUAGGUUAUUUUUAUUUCUCCCUAAAUCCUAGUUGCUUUCCAGUGUUGUAAUAAUGGUAAUAUGCAAAAGUAUGUUAAAUAACUUCUAUUUACUUGUUUUUCCAAGUCAUCUUUGACAUAAGUUUUUCUGAAUGAUACAGUACUGUAGUUUCAUUAACUGUUCACUUGUGACUCCCAGAGCAUUUUUGUCAGUUUACCUAACAUAAAAAGAUUAAACAGUCUUUGAAAAAAACAUUCCUACCUGAGUUGUGAGGAACCAAUUGUACAGUACAAGUACUGCCUGUGGGGGGAGGCUCUUGAUGCAUAACUGAUGCUGGCUUUUGACCGAAGUAACCACUGAGAAUAUUGCAUCUUGAUAUAUCAUGUUCUAGGAGAAUAAUGGACUGUAUACUAGAUUAAUUUACUGUUUUUGAGUUGGAAAAAAAUUUAAAAAGAUGAGGUAUUACAGAUAGGCCAAAUAUUUAUAUACUCUACCACAAAAGCUUUAAAAAGAAUGGAAAAGGGAGAGAGGGAGAAAAAAGUCAAAAACUAGUAUUAGUAUUUUUAAUAGAUUCUAAACUUUUUUUAAUCCACUUUCUUGAACUAGUAGUCAGUUGCUCAGUUCAACAGUAAGAGUCUUUAAGUGAAAAGGCAUAAAUUGAAGUCAGUGAUGUUUUAAGAUUGCCUUGUAGUUUUUCUUCAGAUGAACUGGUUACAUGUAUGAUCUGGGUUGCAGGUCAGAUUCUAGGCAUUAAAGAUUAGUUUGGCUAACUUACUUUACCAGUGAUACUAAUUGUCUUCACUGAUUGCACUGCUGCAUUUCUUAAAUCUGUUUUCUCCCAGUGUAGCAAUCUGCAUUGAAGUUCUUUCAUAGUAAUUGACAUUUUUUAAGGAUUACAUAUUUUGUGAAGUCUUAAAAUGGCAGAGGAUUAAGAAGAAUAAAUUUUGCAGUAAGUUUUGUGCAGUGUGCUUACAGUGUUCUGGGAGAUCAUACCCCAGAGUGCGUAAAUAAUAAUGGUAAAUUUUAAGGCUAAUAUAAUGAUUAUAUAUUAUCUGUAGUUGCAUUGAUCAAUAGAAAUACAAUGUGAGCCACAAAGUAAUUUUUAACCUUCUAGCCGUGAUAAAGAGGUGAAAUUAACUUCAGUAGUGUUUUUCAUUUAACCCAAUAUAUUAAAGAUAUUAUUUCAACAUGUAAUCAGUAUGAAACAUUAUUAAUUAGAUAUCUUACUUUCCCCUCUCUCCAUACACCAAAUUUAGUGUAUAUUUUGUGGUGGUAACACAUCUCAAUUCUGACUGGCCACAUUUCAAGUACUCAACAGCCAUGUGUGGCUAAGGACUACUAUACAGGGCAAUGCAGAUUGUAGAGAGUACAAUGCAUGACUUUGUUUUAAAUUUGGAGAUGAUAAGCUGAGGUUCUGGCAUUUUAAAAAUUUAGCGUGUUUAGAAAAACAUUUAAUAGAAUUACCACUUGUUUUCCUUCAUCUGAAAGUUACUCUAGAAAUAGGAUCAACCUGUUCUAGUUUGCCAAACAUUGUUUAAGGUGGAAGAAAUUCUAUGCCAUGUAAAAAUACUGUGAUAUACUGACUAUAACAACACAUUAGUAACAGUUUUCAGUUGUUUUCACUAAAUUCUGUCCUGUUUCUUCAAAAUAAUAGUUUAACUUGCAUUUUUUUUUUUUGGUACCGGGGAUCGAACUCCGGUCCUUAUGCUUGCUCAGCAGGCGGCGAAACCACUGAGCUAAAUCCAUGGCCCUAACUUGCAUUUUAAUUGUAUUAUCUGUACCUAUUUUGUUUUUGUAUUCUUAUGUAAUAUGUAUUAACAAACAGCCCUAGGAUUCUAAUCUUUCUAUGCAGUUGUCUUCCAGUUCUUACUGGUAUACUUAUUAAAUGAUGAUAAAUGGCAGAGAAGUAGAAUGAACCAUUACUUUCUCCAUUAGAUUUAUUUUUAACCUGUGACCAUGUACCAAGCCAGCUAUAAGUUACUGUAUUUGUAUGAAUAUGAAAAAGUGUUUGUCUUAUCUUUGCUAUAUGUCUGCAAUUUUUAAGUAAACUUUUCAUCUCCU
ensembl:lncRNA